AGACAAGCUAGUCUAGAAGAGUUCAAACUCCGACUCGUUUUGUUCGUUCCGGCUGAAACAAUACAACAACGACUCUGAACGGGAGCCAAAGUGAAUGACUCCGACCAACACACGGUGACUAAUGAUCGAGACACCUGUCAGUCAGGGGGGU